rnacentral:rRNA from 1 species
GAUGAACGCUGGCGGCGUGCUUAACACAUGCAAGUCGAACGGAAAGGCCCAAGCUUGCUUGGGUACUCGAGUGGCGAACGGGUAAGUAACACGUGGGUGAUCUGCCCUGCACUUCGGGAUAAGCCUGGGAAACUGGGUCUAAUACCGGAUAGGACGAUGGUUUGGAUGCCAUUGUGGAAAGUUUUUUCGGUGUGGGAUGAGCUCGCGGCCUAUCAGCUUGUUGGUGGGGUAAUGGCCUACCAAGGCGUCGACGGGUAGCCGGCCUGAGAGGGUGUAUGGCCACAUUGGGACUGAGAUACGGCCCAGACUCCUACGGGAGGCAGCAGUGGGGAAUAUUGCACAAUGGGCGCAAGCCUGAUGCAGCGACGCCGCGUGGGGGAUGACGGCCUUCGGGUUGUAAACUCCUUUCGCUAGGGACGAAGCGUUUUUGUGACGGUACCUGGAGAAGAAGCACCGGCUAACUACGUG